rnacentral:rRNA from 1 species
GUGGGGAAUAUUGGACAAUGGGGGGAACCCUGAUCCAGCCAUGCCGCGUGUGUGAAGAAGGCCUUUUGGUUGUAAAGCACUUUAAGCGAGGAGGAGGCUACCGAGAUUAAUACUCUUGGAUAGUGGACGUUACUCGCAGAAUAAGCACCGGCUAACUCUGUGCCAGCAGCCGCGGUAAUACAGAGGGUGCGAGCGUUAAUCGGAUUUACUGGGCGUAAAGCGUGCGUAGGCGGCUUUUUAAGUCGGAUGUGAAAUCCCUGAGCUUAACUUAGGAAUUGCAUUCGAUACUGGGAAGCUAGAGUAUGGGAGAGGAUGGUAGAAUUCCAGGUGUAGCGGUGAAAUGCGUAGAGAUCUGGAGGAAUACCGAUGGCGAAGGCAGCCAUCUGGCCUAAUACUGACGCUGAGGUACGAAAGCAUGGGGAGCAAACAGGAUUAGAUACCCCUGUAGUCC